GAAUCGGCCUGGAUUUCCCGGAACUGUUGCGGGCUGUUUUGCGGCAAGGGGCCGACGUGAUCAUGGUCGGGGAGGUUCGGGACCCGGUGACGGCGCAGACUGUGGCGCGGGCGGCCAACAGCGGCCACCUCGUGCUCGCUACAGUCCACGCCCCCUCUGCCGCCGGUGCCAUUCAGAGCCUGCUCGGGUUCGGCGUUCCGCCGCAUCACUUGGCCAGCGGCCUGCGGGCCGCUGUAGCGCAACGCCUGGUCCGCACCCUCUGCCCGGCGUGCAAGCGGUCAGUCGAUUCAGGCCCGACAGCCCGCCUGUUGGCCAGUGGGCGGCAUCAUGACGCUACUGACGCAGCGACUGCGUUUGAACCGACCGGCUGUCCGGCUUGUCAUCUUGGUGGGUUUGGCGGACGCACGGGCGUCUUCGAGUUGUUGCACGUUACGGAUGCGAUCCGCAAGUUGAUUCUGAGCGGUUCGGCGUCACAAGCGAUUCAAGAGGCCGCGGUGGCUGAGGGGAUGGUGCCGCUCGAACGGUCGGGGCUAUUGAAGGCAGCAACGGGUGUCACCUCUCUUGA
rnacentral:misc_RNA from 1 species